rnacentral:lncRNA from 12 species
UAAACAUAUGCUUUCUCUUCCUUGUAGUCUAGUUAUUUUUAUUUCACGUGGAGUUUGAAAGAAGUCAAGUAUGGAGAAUUCAGAAACAAUAAGAUCUCUGUUCAUGUUUAGAUGCACAGAGCUGAGGAGUGGGGUCUCGUGCUUUGCCGUGGGCCCAGCUUGCUCGCAGGAGCCUGGCGAGCUCCUUCCCGCAGUACGCAGUUCCACCUCCCACACUAGAA